rnacentral:rRNA from 1 species
UACAUAGGGUGCAAGCGUUGUCCGGAAUUAUUGGGCGUAAAGAGCUCGUAGGUGGUUUGAUACGUCGGGUGUGAAAUUCAGGGGCUCAACCCCUGACCUGCAUUCGAUACGGUCAAGCUAGAGUUUGGUAGGGGAGACUGGAAUUCCUGGUGUAGCGGUGGAAUGCGCAGAUAUCAGGAGGAACACCGAUGGUGAAGGCAGGUCUCUGGGCCAAUACUGACACUGAGGAGCGAAAGCGUGGGGAGCGAACAGG